rnacentral:rRNA from 1 species
CGCCUGUUUAUCAAAAACAUAGUUUAAGGAAUCUAUAUCUUAAAUUAAGUCUGCCCAGUGAAAUUUUUAAACGGCCGCAGUACACUGACUGUGCUAAGGUAGCAUAAUAAAUUGGCUUUUAAUUGGAGUCUUGAAUGAAUGGAUUUUGGGAAGGUAACUGUUUUUAAUUGUCAAAUUAUAAUUUACUUAGGAGGUGAAAAUUCCUCUAUAUAUACAUGUAAGACGAGAAGACCCUUAGAAUUAUUACUAAUAACUUUUUAUUUUUUGGUUUUUGUUGGGGCAACAAGUUCAAACUUAAACUGAGCUUAUACUAUUUUUACAUACAGUAACUAUUUAAAAAAAGAAUUUAAUUACCUUAGGGAUAACAGCAUUAUUAAUUUUUUAGUUUGUGACCUCGAUGUUGGACUAAGGAUUAUAAUAAAUAGCCUUUAUUAUAAAUAGUUCUGUUCGAACUUUCUCCCUUACGUGAUCUGAGUUCAAACCGG